CGGACUCAGCGCCCGUCGCUCCCCCGCCCUGACUGAGCGCCGCUCCCUCGAUCAACCACCCCGGGCCCUCUGGGAUCAGCUAGGGGCGGGGCUAGGAGCCCCCUGGAGUAGGCCCCGCCCCUUCCACGCGCCAGAGGGAGGCGGGGACAUGGAGGAGGCCAGCCCCGCCCAUGGUAAAAUGAACAAGCCAGGGGCAGGGUCCCUUCUGUUCCCCUCCUCACAUGCCAGCGACCUGCCCCCCCCAGUUCCCCAAGUCCCACUGCCGUGAUCCAGGUCUCUCGUCUUCUUCCCGCCACACAGCCCAGAUUUCCCUAGUGUAGACAGGGCCGCAGCUGCCACCUGUGUGGCCUCCCUUCCUAGCCUGCUUGGAUUUGCGUGGGAAUUUUUUUCUAAGCCAAAUAGAGUAUUGCGUGGAACGAAGGAAAAAAAGAGAUCUGGUAGGUGAGGUAAUAUGCAGAUGGACGCCCUGAUCAUCAGAGUCCUGGAUGCCUGGGACCCCUGCAACAAGCGUGUCCUGCGGACCUGCGGGAUCGGUCGACGCUGCACAUGGCUUGUAUGGCACCUCAUGGUCUCAGACACCAUCCGAUGGUCCAGGGACUCUACACUGUCCGCCGACAGUACCAGGAGGCAUGAGCCGAAGCAACAUCGUGCAUCCACUACAAGAAAGGGACCGAGAUACUUUUUCCUUUGGACCAUAUGAACUGGAACCAUAAACUCACUGAACAUUAAAUCUCACCAAAUGAGAGCCAGUCCAUCCUCCUCAUCAUAACCACUCGUUAUACUCCACACCUGAACAUAGCCAUGAUAUGAACAACAUACCCUCAUAUCUCAAUGUCUGUACUUUGUCCCAUUAACCUUUUACCCCCAAUAGAGGAUAUUGCAGUUUAUGUAUUCCUUAUACCACCCGAUCUUAAACCAAACUUCGCACCCAUUGAUAAUUUGUACAUUAUUCCCUGAUAACCAGAAACGUCUACACUUAAACUCUGUACCAUUCACUUUUUUUAAAACAUUAUAUUAAUACACUUUUAAAAUCUUU